GACGAACGCUGGCGGCGUGCCUAAUACAUGCAAGUAGAACGCUGAAGGAGGAGCUUGCUUCUCUGGAUGAGUUGCGAACGGGUGAGUAACGCGUAGGUAACCUGCCUGGUAGCGGGGGAUAACUAUUGGAAACGAUAGCUAAUACCGCAUAAGAGUAGAUGUUGCAUGACAUUUGCUUAAAAGGUGCAAUUGCAUCACUACCAGAUGCACCUGCGUUGUAUUAGCUAGUUGGUGGGGUAACGGCUCACCAAGGCGACGAUACAUAGCCGAACUGCGAGGGGGGUCGGCCGCACUGGGACGGAGACACGGCCCAGAGUCCUACGGGAGGCAGCCGUAGGGAAUCUUGGGCAAUAGACGGAAGUCUGACCGAGAAACGCCGCGGGAGUGAGGAAGGUUUUCGGAUCGGAGAGCUCUGUUGUAAGAGAAGAACGAGUGUGAGAGUGGAAAGUUCACACUGUGACGGUAUCUUACCAGAAAGGGACGGCUAACUACGUG
rnacentral:rRNA from 1 species